rnacentral:rRNA from 1 species
AACGUAGGACGCAAGCGUUAUCCGGAGUUACUGGGCGUAAAGCGCGGGCAGGCGGCCAACCAAGUCUGAUGUGAAAUCUCUUCGCUCAACGGAGAGAGGCCAUUGGAAACUGGUCGGCUGGAGGGCAGUAGAGGUAGGCGGAAUUCCGGGUGGAGUGGUGAAAUGCGUAGAGAUCCGGAGGAACACCAGAGGCGAAGGCGGCCUACUGGGCUGCACCUGACGCUGAGACGCGAAAGCGUGGGGAGCAAACAGG